rnacentral:rRNA from 1 species
GACGUAGGGUGCAAGCGUUGUCCGGAUUUACUGGGCGUAAAGAGCGCGUAGGCGGUCUUGUAAGUGUGAAGUGAAAUCUCCAGGGCUCAACCCGGAAACUGCUUUGCAUACUGCGAGACUUGAGGGAUGCAGAGGUUUGUGGAAUUCCUGGUGUAGCGGUGAAAUGCGUUGAUAUCAGGAGGAACACCCGUGGCGAAGGCGGCUCUCUGGAACGCAACUGACGCUGAGACGCGAAAGCGUGGGGAGCAAACAGG